AUAAAUAAAAUCUUAAAAAAAAAAAAGGUUUAUUUUCCUAAAAAGGAAAUAGAUUAGAUGAUGCUAUUAAAUAACAUAGUGGUUAAGAUUCUAAAUGCUAGAGUAAGACUGGUCCUAUUCAAAACCUGGCACUACUGCUUUAAUAAUGUAACCUUAAACUCCUUAAUCUCUCUAAACCUUGGUGCUUUGGCAAUAGAAUAGGGAUCAUAACAGUACCUACCACACUCAAUUGUAAGACAGUGUUAAGAAAAAUAGUAAAUUUUUAGUAAAAGCUAAAUUGUCUUUUCUUGUAGCUAAAAGCUAUGGAAAAAAUAAAGGAUCUAUUUAUUAAUAUGAUUGAAUGAAGUGUUUGCUUUAAAAAUAUAUUGACCUAGUCGGGAAAAGUUACAUAAGGAAUAAAGUACAAAGAGAAUGAGUGGGAGGACUCGCCAGAGGAGCAACAAAGACCAAGAAGCAGAGCAAUUCGCUGAAGUUGCAGUAACAGAUCAUCUCACAUCCCUUCCCAUCCCAGAAGUGAUCCUGGACGUUUACAUCCAUCUUUGUCAGGAUAUCCUCCACGGAGGCUGGGUAACUAAGACAAUGCAGUGGAAUGCAUGGCUGAGAGGAGUACCAGAAAACUUAUGAACGAUGUUUGUGAGAGGUAUACAGAAAGGGGUGCUGCCCUCUUCAUACAGAUUAUUUCUGUUGAUGGAGGUCAGCAGAUAAUUGCACAAAUCUUUUCACUUUGCCUAAGAAGAUAUUUUCAAUGUAAGUCUAUAAGGAAUCAAAAGUGGUUACCAAGCAAGUCCGUUUUCAGAAGUGACUUCUUUUGACUGUUCUGGAUUUAUUUUUUUGCCAGUCUUGUUAAUAAUGGGUUCGAGUUUUAAUGUCUAUGAAAGCACAGAAGACACAUUUUUGGGUCCAUGAAGGGCAGAAAUUUGGAUUAAAGACCCUAAAAUAAAUAACCCUUGAAUGACUAUACAUCUGUGAAAGAGAACUGAAAAUAUAUAAACCCUCCCAAAGGGAGCUUUAAAGGAAACUCUUGUUUAGCCUGAUCUAAUGGGGAAGGGGGAAGGGAAGGAAAAUCCUGAGAAUCUGAAAAAAACCCUGAAAACCUCAGGCUCCCACACUCAAAUUUGAGGCUUGAACUUACACUCUCUGAAAGGCCUACAUUCGCCAACAAUAUAGUAUAAAAAGCAGUCUCAGACUGAUAACAAUACUGGUGCCCUCAAUAGAAGUAAUUAAAAGUCUUCUCUAGAAAGACAUAGUUUCAACCCUGCACGGGAUCCCUCUAGAUAAAGUGCCACCGAGCAUGAACUCACAGUUCUAAAUUACAAGAAACAUGAAGAAACAAUCCAGAAUCAUUAGUAAUAACUUUUUAGGCCUAAGAAUUUCAGAAAUAGAUUAUAAAAAAUUUAAAACUAUUAAAGAGAAGAAACAAACACUACUAAAAUAUUUACUAAGAGUAAUUUUUCUGGCCUAUAAAGGGGUUAAUUUGUGUGUUCUUUCGCAGACUGUUUUACUUAUGAAAUAACCCAGGACCAGAGUUCUGCGUAUGGGCAAGAGAGUACUCCAUGUUAUUUUCAGAACAUUCCUUCUUGCAUAUGCUGGGGCUCUAUGAGCAAACCUAACCGGGAAUGGGCACAGCUGCUAGCCUUCUACUGCAGGCCAGUGAGCAAAGGGAAGUUUAAAUUUGUAUUCCAGCUGAAACGAAGUUUGGAAAGUAGACUAAUUCCAAAAGUGUGAGAACCAAAUAAAAGAGAAACAAGACAAAGCCAGUGAGUUUAGGAGGUGGAGGAUGUGGUGUUCCUUAAGGCUCGAGAAUACCAAUGGAAGAUGGGAAGCAACCCUUUGUAGGUCACCUUCAAAGGGACUGUGGUUUGGGGCAAUAUUCAGAAAUGUUGUUUUGGCUAUGAAGUAAAGCCAGAUCCAGUGAAAGAAACCUAAUUUCAGAAGGGGACUGUGUCUGCUAGGAUGUGAAUAGGUGAUUUUAUUUUCUUUUUUUAAAAAAAGAUGUUACAUUUAAGUAAUCUCUAUACCCAACAUGGGACUCAAACUUACAACCCUAAGGUCAAGAGUCACAUGCUCUACCAACUGGGCCAGCCAGGUGCCCCUAGUAGAUUUUAAUCCCUAGAACUAUACAUUUUUGAGUAGGUUUGGUUUCUCCCAUCUCUGGCUUAGCAACGUCUGUCCUUUGUCAUGUUGCUGUUGGAGACCAAACUAUCAGAGUCUUCUGUCACAACUGAUCAGCUUCCAAAUGAAUGGGACAGAAAAGUU